UUUCCGGUUGAUCCUGCCGCCGGCCACCGCUAUCAAGUUCCGACUAAGCCAUGCGAGUCAAGGUAUCGUAAGAUGCCGGCAAACUGCUCAGUAACACGUGGAUAAUCUAACCUUGAGUAAGGGAUAACCUCGGGAAACUGAGGAUAAUACCUUAUAAUUGCUUAAAACUGGAAUGUUUAAGCAAUAAAAGUUCCGACGCUCAAGGAUGAGUCUGCGACCUAUCAGGUAGUAGGUGGUGUAAUGGACCACCUAGCCUCAGACGGGUACGGGCCCUGGGAGGGGUAGCCCGGAGAUGGACUCUGAGACAUCAGUCCAGGCCCUACGGGGCGCAGCAGGCGCGAACACUGUGCAAUGCGCGAAAGCGCGACACGGGGAGCUUGAGUGUCUUGGCAUAGCCAAGACUUUUCUCAUUCCUAAAAAGCAUGAGGAAUAAGUGCUGGGUAAGACGGGUGCCAGCCGCCGCGGUAACACCCGCAGCACAAGUGGUGGUCACUUUUAUUGAGCCUAAAGCGUUCGUAGCCGGUUUUGUAAAUCUUUAGAUAAAGCCUGAAGCUUAACUCCAGAAAGUCUGAAGAGACUGCAAGACUUGAGAUCGGGUGAGGUUAAACGUACUUUCAGGGUAGGGGUAAAAUCCUGUAAUCCCGGAAGGACGACCAGUGGCGAAAGCGUUUAACUAGAACGAAUCUGACGGUAAGGAACGAAGGCUAGGGUAGCAAACCGGAUUAGAUACCCGGGUAGUCCUAGCUGUAAACACUGCCCAUUUGAUGUUGCUUUUCCGUUGAGGGAAGGCAGUGUCGGAGCGAAGGUGUUAAAUGGACCGUUUGGGAAGUAUGGUCGCAAGACUGAAACUUAAAGGAAUUGGCGGAGGAGCACCGCAACGGGAGGAAUGUGCGGUUUAAUUGGAUUCAACGCCGGA
rnacentral:rRNA from 1 species